rnacentral:lncRNA from 1 species
GUUUUUACCCCCCUUGAUUUUCUCCCUUUCGAACUGAGCCCUGCCCAGUGUUAUUUGCCCUGGUGGAGCAUUAUUUGCCCAGCAUAUAUGGUUGGCCCAGAAUCUGACGAAGCCGAUGAGAAGAAGUCUCGAUGGGACUGUUGACCUAACAAGUAGCGUGUCAGUCUCCCCAUGGCAUUUGAAUGUUCUCACAGCGAAUGCUUCAAGACAGGAGAGAGCAUAAAGCAGAGAUUCUUUGGAAUCCUUAAUUAGACACAGUGAUUUUGGAGUACUGGCUUCUGCUGCUAUCCUCCAGUGCCUAGUACUUUGUUUUGUGACCUUGAGGUUAAGGAUACCAACCAGCCCUGUUUAUUUUUAAUAAAAUUUUACAGUUAUAUGAGACAGUUCUAGGUUUUAUUUAUUUUUAGCAUAAGUGCUUCCAUCUUAUCUGCCUCACAGGUUUAUGGUAAGGAUUUAGCUAAUAUUUGGACAGCACUUUUAAGCUAUGAAGCUCUAUAUAUCUAUUAUACUGACCGUUUUCUGCAUUUUUCAUUUUAGGGAGGUACUUCUGUAUUCUUUCACUUCAGGAAGAUAGAGUUCAGAUCUUGACUUUAGUUUUCCCAUCAAAUUUUGUCAAACACCUGAUUUACAAAUGCUGACAUAGGGUCAGAUUCUGCAUUCAGUUACAGGUUAAGCCAUUUCAAAGGUAAUGAAAUUUUAUCUCUGAAAUUGUUGCCUGAGAUUUUUUGUAAUCCAUAGCCAAAGAGGAAUGUCUGCUGCCCAGACUUUAACUGGAAGGUUUCACUUCUGCUUUCAGCUAAUGAAGAUCUCCUUAAUUACAGGGCAGUCAUCAAGGCAGGCAACUAUUCUUGUGAAAAGAAUCAACCUUCAGACAAGAAGAGUGUCAGAUCAUCACUGUUUGGUUGAUAACUUACUGAGGGACUGAAAUUAUUGUACCAAGAGAUGAGGAAGAUAUGUGAUCAUCCCCAUAAUCCUGUAUUUUUUUCACAAGAGGAUUAUAUUCUAACUCCUCAACUUUACAUAUCCCUGAUUUCCUCAGGCAUUUAGCUCUUUAACCUGACCACAAACUGUUUGCAGACACACACACAUCUCUGCGAGCAGAGGUUAUGAAGUCAUUUGCUUGGAAUUGGUGAAAUAAAGAUUUGUGUGAUUUUAGGUGUAUGAGCCA